AUGGAGAGUUUGAUCCUGGCUCAGGACGAACGCUGGCGGCGUGCUUAACACAUGCAAGUCGAACGGUGACGGAUGGAGCUUGCUCUGUCUUGAUCAGUGGCGAACGGGUGAGUAACACGUGAGUAACCUGCCCCGGACUCUGGAAUAACCCCGGGAAACCGGAGCUAAUACCGGAUAUGACACCAACCUGCAUGGGUAUGGUGUGGAAAGUUUUUCGGUCUGGGAUGGACUCGCGGCCUAUCAGCUUGUUGGUGAGGUAAUGGCUCACCAAGGCGACGACGGGUAGCCGGCCUGAGAGGGCGACCGGCCACACUGGGACUGAGACACGGCCCAGACUCCUACGGGAGGCAGCAGUGGGGAAUAUUGCACAAUGGGCGAAAGCCUGAUGCAGCGACGCCGCGUGAGGGAUGACGGCCUUCGGGUUGUAAACCUCUUUCAGCAGGGAAGAAGCGCAAGUGACGGUACCUGCAGAAGAAGCACCGGCUAACUACGUGCCAGCAGCCGCGGUAAUACGUAGGGUGCGAGCGUUGUCCGGAAUUAUUGGGCGUAAAGAGCUUGUAGGCGGUUUGUCGCGUCUGCCGUGAAAAUUCGAGGCUCAACCUCGAACUUGCGGUGGGUACGGGCAGACUAGAGUGUGGUAGGGGAGACUGGAAUUCCUGGUGUAGCGGUGAAAUGCGCAGAUAUCAGGAGGAACACCGAUGGCGAAGGCAGGUCUCUGGGCCACUACUGACGCUGAGAAGCGAAAGCAUGGGGAGCGAACAGGAUUAGAUACCCUGGUAGUCCAUGCCGUAAACGUUGGGAACUAGGUGUGGGUCUCAUUCCACGAGAUCCGUGCCGCAGCUAACGCAUUAAGUUCCCCGCCUGGGGAGUACGGCCGCAAGGCUAAAACUCAAAGGAAUUGACGGGGGCCCGCACAAGCGGCGGAGCAUGCGGAUUAAUUCGAUGCAACGCGAAGAACCUUACCAAGGCUUGACAUAUGCGAGAACGCGGCAGAGAUGUCGUUCUCUUUGGACACUCGCAUACAGGUGGUGCAUGGUUGUCGUCAGCUCGUGUCGUGAGAUGUUGGGUUAAGUCCCGCAACGAGCGCAACCCUCGUUCUAUGUUGCCAGCACGUGAUGGUGGGGACUCAUAGGAGA
rnacentral:rRNA from 1 species